rnacentral:rRNA from 1 species
GAUGAACGCUGGCGGCGUGCCUAAUACAUGCAAGUCGAGCGAACAGACGAGGAGCUUGCUCCUCUGACGUUAGCGGCGGACGGGUGAGUAACACGUGGAUAACCUACCUAUAAGACUGGGAUAACUUCGGGAAACCGGAGCUAAUCCCGGAUAAUAUAUUGAACCGCAUGGUUCAAUAGUGAAAGACGGUUUUGCUGUCACUUAUAGAUGGAUCCGCGCCGCAUUAGCUAGUUGGUAAGGUAACGGCUUACCAAGGCAACGAUGCGUAGCCGACCUGAGAGGGUGAUCGGCCACACUGGAACUGAGACACGGUCCAGACUCCUACGGGAGGCAGCAGUAGGGAAUAUUCCGCAAUGGGCGAAAGCAUGACGGAGCAACGCCGCGUGAGUGAUGAAGGUCUUCGGAUCGUAAAACUCUGUUAUUAGGGAAGAACAAAUGUGUAAGUAACUAUGCACGUCUUGACGGUACCUAAUCAGAAAGCCACGGCUAACUACGUG